UAGGGGUCAUUUGACAAUUUAUACUAGUUCUUCUUCAUCUUCCACUAUUUCCUCGUUCUUCUUUGUCCUGCAACCGUUAAUUCUGCUACUCGUAUCGCCGCCAGAAUCCUCCAGUCCAAAAGGCUCAUGGAGAUUCUCUGAAAGCAAAGAACCUAGAAAGGGGCUUUUUACCUUUGCGCCUUAAAUUAGACUAUGCAAUAAAAUAUAUCUUGCCGACUGUUUUGCUUCUGAUAUUUUGGGAAUUUUUUACUGUGAUUGUUUAGCUUCCUGGUAACUCUACAUUUAAUUCCAGCAAUACCAUUGACUUCCAGCUACCCUUGAUACGUGGACUACUUCAUAAUGGGGAACAAGUUAGAAGAAAUAGAGAGCUCCAUGGUUCUGAUCAAGCAAGGUGCUGAAGCUAGAGUCUUCGAGUCAAAAUUUGUCGAUAGGAGGUCUAUUGUCAAGGAACGCUUUUCGAAGAAGUAUAGGCAUCCAUCUUUGGACUCAAAGCUCACACUCAAACGCUUAAAUGCGGAGGCAAGGUGCAUGACAAAAGCUAGGCGACUUGGGGUUCCCACUCCAGUGCUUUAUGCUGUCGAUCCUUUGUUACAUACCUUGACCUUUGAAUAUGUUGAGGGUCUCUCAGUGAAAGACGUAUUCCUUGACUUUGGAUUACAUGGUAUUGUUGAAGAACGGAUGAAUGAUAUUGCGACUCAAAUUGGUGAUGCAAUUGGCAAACUGCAUGAUGGUGGCCUCAUCCAUGGUGAUUUAACGACAUCAAACAUAUUAAUUCGGAGUGGUACCAAUCAGCUGGUAGUCAUUGAUUUUGGUCUAAGCUUUACAUCAACCCUUCCAGAAGACAAAGCAGUUGAUUUAUAUGUACUUGAACGAGCUUUGCUCUCUAUGCAUUCUUCAUGUGGAAAUGUGAUGGAUAGAAUACUUGCUGCAUACAGGAAGUCCUCAAAGCAGUGGUCAUCAACUUUAAAUAAGCUAGCCCAAGUGAGACAGAGGGGAAGAAAGCGCACAAUGGUGGGUUGAGCUCUGUCAAUUAUGUGCUUCACACAAUGGUUAUAUGAAAAUCGGGUUCUGCGGUGGAUGAUUGGAUAAUGAUACAACCUUACCAAAUAAAAGGGGAAAAAAUUAUUUCAAUUAUGGGAUGGCACAAUUCUGCAUAUACUGUUCGAACAGGAGACGGGAAAUGGGUGGAGAAGCUGCGGGAGCUGUUAGUACCAUUGCUGUUCUAGUAGUUUUCAGGGAAUGUGAUUUCGAACACUCAAGGCAAAACCUCAUCCUUAUGUUUUAUAGUGAAUUUAUCAGUCUUUCUAGAAGUAGUUGGAAAUUUAGAAUGUGAUUCUGUUCCAUUUCAAGUGGUCCAGUUUAUUUAACGUUGGAUAUGAACUUGCUAUUUAAUUCCAACUAUAAGGAGCAAAAUUUUGUUCCAACAUUUAUUCUCAGCUGAAUGUCAGAUCGUCAAAUUAAUUUC